rnacentral:rRNA from 1 species
GAUGAACGCUAGCGGCAGGCUUAAUACAUGCAAGUCGAGGGGUAACAUGGGGUAGCAAUACUCUGAUGACGACCGGCAAACGGGUGCGGAACACGUACGCAACUUUCCCAAAACUGGUGAAUAGCCCUCCGAAAGGAGGAUUAAUACACCGUAACAUAUAGAGGUGGCAUCGCCUUUAUAUUAUAGCUCCGACGGUUUUGGAUGGGCGUGCGCCUGAUUAGGUAGUUGGCGGGGUAACGGCCCACCAAGCCUACGAUCAGUAACUGGUGUGAGAGCACGACCAGUCACACGGGCACUGAGACACGGGCCCGACUCCUACGGGAGGCAGCAGUAAGGAAUAUUGGUCAAUGGACGCAAGUCUGAACCAGCCAUGCCGCGUGAAGGAUGAAGGUCCUCUGGAUUGUAAACUUCUUUUAUAUGGGACGAAAAAAGGCAUUCUUGCUCAACUUGACGGUACCAUAGGAAU